GGCCAGCCCAACCCCGCGCCUGCGCGGUGCCCCCUGCAUGUCGCCCAUGCCCGGCAGAGGGCGCUCUGGGUUGCGCGUGCGCAGUCGGCCACCCUGCGAGUACGCGGUUCCCACCCGGCCGCGCGGCAGCCCGUGCCUGCGCACUGCUCUGUGCCCGCGCCUAUGUCCAGCAGGGGGCGCGCAGCGGCGGUAGCCGAGCGAGGGCGCGGUGGCCUCUGACAGGAAUGACUCUGCGCACGUGGGUUUCACAGCAGUGGAAGUCUUCACACCCGGAAACUCGACUUUGGCCGUUUCUCCAUUUCUCCUUACGCACUGUCUUUCCUUGGGCCCUCGUCACUCCUGGCACCGAGGGAAGGGCUUCCCCGCCUCUGGCAGGGCGCUGGGGCGCGACCGAAGGCAAGGCGGCGGCGAGGAACCUUCUGGAAUUCGGCCGUCGGGGCAGGCGUCGAGUUUACAGGAGAAGGCGCGGUGUCCCGGGAUGAGCGGAGUCGCCCUCAGUUAAGGAGCGAGGAAGGCCUCGGGGGUCCCCAGCCGGGGAGACUGGAAGAAAUUAAAGUGUUCUAAAUGGAAGAGCAUUCACCACAUGUGUUCUGUUUUGGGUUGACAUUUAGCUUUUGUUUUUAUUUUAGAAACAGAAGACUCUGGUAGCAAUCCUUGAAAUCUUGAUGCCAUUGCUAUUUUCUGCAUUGUAUUGUAUCUUCGUUUUAGUAGUGCUCCAAUAAAAAGACCUGCCACUAGCUGCCAUGCAA